GUUACAGUGGUUCAGUUGCAUCGGAAACACGGAACCACUCUAUUAGUAAAGAGUUGCUCUAGGGUAAAGAUGAGGUUGGGCCCAAUAACUAUUAGGUGAGGGACCCAAUGAUGGCUUUACACCUACUUGUGAAUAGUGGGUCUGACUUAACUAAGGAGUGUGGGCAAUAACUAUUAAGUGAGCCCACAUGACCUAGAGAUCAAGUCGCUACAACAU
rnacentral:lncRNA from 1 species